CUGUUUUCAAAACAGAGCAAACUUUCUACUGAAGAAACCUGUUAAUAUUUCUGCAGAUUGAGGGCAUGACAUCAGACAAAUUAGAUAUGAUUUUCAGGGGAGGAAGAAAAAACAGUUUGGACCUUAAAAAAUAAGCAAGCUGGCCGGGCGCGGUGGCUCACACCUGUUAUCCCAGCACUUUGGGAGGCUGAGGCUGGUGGAUCACAAGGUCAAGAGAUCAAGACCAUCCUGGCCAACACGGAGUAUAUAUGCCAAAAUUGGAGCUGAAUCAGUCAUACUCUGCUUUACUCUGAGGUGGCCAUGUGAAGACAGUGAAAACACGUUUGCUUCCUCUUCACCUUCUACCAUGACUGUAAGUUUCCUGAGUCCUCCCCAGCCAUGCUUCCUGUACAGUCUGUGGAACUUGUUUUCCAAAUUAUUAAGAAGCCCCUACUAUGUACUGGGCCCACCUCUAAGCUUCAGGAGAAAAAUAGUAAAAUAG
rnacentral:lncRNA from 1 species